CUCUCUCUCACUCCGACGCCGCGCACGUUUCUCUCUCCGGUAGUAUUUCACAAGGUAUCUGGUUCGACUGUCGUUUUCACAGUGCGGGGCAGCUCUCCACAUGCCUCCCCCUUAUUCAAUUGUUAUUCAGGUAAUAUGAGCUUAUACAUUGGCAUAAGAACCCUGAAGAUCUAAAGAACAGGCAUUUCUAAUAUCCUUACAAAUAGAUGUAGGUUAUUUCUUUCUAAUAUCCUUUCUGCUGGGGAUCGAUCAGAAA